CAACCCCUACCUCGCUCUCUCCCCACGAACCUCUCUGUCUCUCGCGACUCCUCUCUCCCCCACGAACCCCUCUCCCUCGCCGCCGCCACCACCCACGGCGGCCGGUUCCGGCGAGCUCCGGCGGCGCGCAGCACGACCCCGAGCUCCCCUAGGUCCGGUCCACCUUCCCCUCCGUCCAGAAUCGGCGCUCCCGUCCUCCACCGACCCCGUGGCUAGCUAGGGUUUCGACCGCCACCCCUAACAUCGCCGGGAUCAGCCAGAUCCGGCGACGGCGAGGCCAGAGCUCGACGGAUCUGUUACGGGCGUGGCGCAGGUCACCUUGGUGCGGUCUGGACGGCGGCGACGGCAGGAGGGCGCCGUCCUUCCUACUCGAGGAGGCGGAGGACGAGGGGCGCACCUAGCUGGCGGCCCUGUCCUGCUCGAGGAGGCGGGGGCUGCCGAGCUCAAGCACGGCCACGACGACCCACCUCGGCAGAGAUGCAAGGAGGGAGGGACGUCCAUGGAUUGGACUGGAAGGAUUGGAUGCAAACCAAUGCACAUGAGGAGGAGAGAUGCAAGCCAGGCCAUGACCUAAAGAUGUCCUUGGAGAAGAUGGCCAUUGGAGUGUAGGGGAGAAACAACCUUGUCCUGCUCGAGGAGGAGGAGGAGGACCACCCGAGCUCGACGACGAUACGGCAACAGCUUGCCUUGAACAACAACUGAUGCUUGAUAGAUACAACCGAAACUGGAGCAUCUCUGUACUGUAUGUAUUAGUAGUAUUGUUCGGUUCAAGCACCAACAUGACAAGUUAUCUUCAGCAAAAGCAAUAAUUUUCUGCCUUUUUAGUUUGAUGCCCCUGUUCUAGGCGAUUUUCUUUUGGUAAAUUCAAUGUAUAGAUUACAUAUUCAUCCUCAUAUGUAGGAUCUUCGGUUUGUUGUACUGACUGUAUGCCACCUCCAUCGUUGCAGCCUUGUCUCCCCCACCACCGCCCCUCGGCCUCCUAUAAUGUUGUUGUGGAUUCUUAGAAUGGAAAUGUUAUGUACAUAAAAAAUAUACUAUGUUCUGUGGUUGCAAAUCCAUGGCUGUUGAAUCAUGUUUGUAUAAGCAUUUGUAAAUAGCUAGCCUUGUUGGUUAA